CCCUGUCCCAUGGGAGGAUGGGAUGAGCUGGAGCAAAACAUGGACGACAUACUGCAGCCUGGCAGGGCCAGAAGGGCAACUCUGGGCCUCUUCAGUUCCUG